GUCGAACGCUGGCGGCAGGCCUAACACAUGCAAGUCGAGCGGAUGAAGGGAGCUUGCUCCUGGAUUCAGCGGCGGACGGGUGAGUAAUGCCUAGGAAUCUGCCUGGUAGUGGGGGAUAACGUCCGGAAACGGGCGCUAAUACCGCAUACGUCCUGAGGGAGAAAGUGGGGGAUCUUCGGACCUCACGCUAUCAGAUGAGCCUAGGUCGGAUUAGCUAGUUGGUGGGGUAAAGGCCUACCAAGGCGACGAUCCGUAACUGGUCUGAGAGGAUGAUCAGUCACACUGGAACUGAGACACGGUCCAGACUCCUACGGGAGGCAGCAGUGGGGAAUAUUGGACAAUGGGCGAAAGCCUGAUCCAGCCAUGCCGCGUGUGUGAAGAAGGUCUUCGGAUUGUAAAGCACUUUAAGUUGGGAGGAAGGGCAGUAAGUUAAUACCUUGCUGUUUUGACGUUACCAACAGAAUAAGCACCGGCUAACUUCGUG
rnacentral:rRNA from 1 species